CACGGGGGGAGCAAGCGUUGUUCGGAAUCACUGGGCGUAAAGGGCGUGUAGGCGGUCAGGUAAGUGGGAUGUGAAAUGCCUCGGCUCACCCGAGGCACUGCAUUCCAAACUGCUUGGCUUGAGUAUGGGAGAGGAUGAGGGAAUUCCUGGUGUAGCGGUGAAAUGCGUAGAUAUCAGGAGGAACACCGGUGGCGAAGGCGCUCAUCUGGCCCAAUACUGACGCUGAGGCGCGAAAGCUAGGGGAGCAAACGGG
rnacentral:rRNA from 1 species